UGACUCUUGAUUUCUGAUCAGGUCAUGAUCUCUCUCUCUCUCUCAAAUAGAAAAAUAAAUAAAAUCUUUAAAAAAAAAGAUAAAAAAUUUAAUAUAAAGGAGGAUGUGAUCAUUUAAAGGCUGUGUCUUUUCAUCCAUAAAACUAUAACAAUUUAAAAACUUUCAUCUCUUUAUUACACAGGUACACUUAAUUAUCACAUUUAAAAACACAGAAAAAAAUUUAAAAAGAACAAUUUUCAACAAACUCUAUGUAUUCUAGUGAUUGAACAAGAAAUUAUAGAGUUUUAAGGAGAGCAACCAAAGGUAACUCUGAGAACAAAAGAUUUGCAAGAAGCAUACUACAAAGAAGACUUCUUCUAUCUAUUUGCUUAACUUUUUUUCUAACCUUUUCUUUUUCCUUUUUUUUUUUUUUUCCUUUCUGUCAGAAAAAAGAAAUACUAAGCUUGGGGAGACAUUUUAGACAGAACAAAGUGAUAUGAUGCUUCUUGUUAAUUUGCUCAAGAAAUGACAGCCAGUAGCUUUCCUUCAUUAUAUCAAUAGUGAAGCAUACCAGGAAUGAUCUUAGACUUCCGCUGGACGCCAUGAGACUUAAGCCAAGAAGAUCUCAAAAGCCUUUACAAGACAAACUGGGAAGAGGAAAAGUAUUAGAUAUUGGCUUUUGUAUGUGCCAUUUCAUCCACCUGACAUAUCCCUCCUUCCCAAUGGAACUAUCACCCUCCUUCAAGGCCCAGUUCAAAUAUUAUAUUCCUCCAUGAAGUCUUGUCGUGUCUACCAAUUGUAAGUUUCUUUUGCCCUUCAUUUCAACAGUGUUAACUCAAGGGUGUCUGGGUGGCUCAGUC
rnacentral:lncRNA from 1 species